rnacentral:rRNA from 1 species
UACGGAGGAUCCAAGCGUUAUCCGGAAUUACUGGGCGUAAAGAGUUGCGUAGGUGGCAUAGUAAGCGAGUAGUGAAAGCGUUCCGCUCAACGGGAUAAACAUUACUCGAACUGCUAAGCUAGAGAGUGAGAGAGGUAGAUGGAAUUCCUAGUGUAGGGGUAAAAUCCGUUGAUAUUAGGAGGAACACCGAUGGCGUAGGCAGUCUACUAGCUCAUUUCUGACACUCAGGCACGAGAGCGUGGGGAGCGAACGGG